UCGAGGAUCUUCGGCAAUGGGGGCAACCCUGACCGAGCGAUGCCGCGUGGGCGACGAAGGCCUUCGGGUUGUAAAGCCCUGUCGAGGGGGAGAAAGCCGCAAGGCGGAUCCAUCCCUGGAGGAAGCUCGGGCUAAGUUCGUGCCAGCAGCCGCGGUAAGACGAACCGAGCGAACGUUGUUCGGAAUCACUGGGCUUAAAGGGCGCGUAGGCGGGCUGCCGCGUCCGGGGUGAAAUCCCACGGCUCAACCGUGGAACGGCCCCGGGUACGGGCGGCCUCGAGGGGGAUAGGGGCGUGCGGAACUGUGGGUGGAGCGGUGAAAUGCGUUGAUAUCCACAGGAACUCCGGUGGCGAAGGCGGCACGCUGGAUCCUCUCUGACGCUGAGGCGCGAAAGCCAGGGGAGCGAACG
rnacentral:rRNA from 1 species